GACGAACGCUGGCGGCGUGCUUAACACAUGCAAGUCGAACGGAAAGGCCUAGCUUGCUGGGUACUCGAGUGGCGAACGGGUGAGUAACACGUGGGUGAUCUGCCCCUGACUUUGGGAUAAGCCUGGGAAACUGGGUCUGAUACCGGAUAUUCAUUUUUCCUCGCAUGGGGAUUUGUGGAAAGCUUUUGCGGUUGGGGAUGGGCCCGCGGCCUAUCAGCUUGUUGGUGGGGUAAUGGCCUACCAAGGCGACGACGGGUAGCCGACCUGAGAGGGUGAUCGGCCACACUGGGACUGAGACACGGCCCAGACUCCUACGGGAGGCAGCAGUGGGGAAUAUUGCACAAUGGGCGCAAGCCUGAUGCAGCGACGCCGCGUGAGGGAUGACGGCCUUCGGGUUGUAAACCUCUUUCAGCUCCGACGAAGCGCAAGUGACGGUAGGAGCAGAAGAAGCACCGGCCAACUACGUG
rnacentral:rRNA from 1 species